UACAGAGGGGGCAAGCGUUGUUCGGAAUUACUGGGCGUAAAGGGCGCGUAGGCGGCCUGUUAAGUCGAACGUGAAAUCCCCGGGCUCAACCCGGGAACUGCGUCCGAUACUGGCAGGCUUGAAUUCGGGAGAGGGAUGUGGAAUUCCAGGUGUAGCGGUGAAAUGCGUAGAUAUCGGAAGGAACAUCAGUGGCGAAAGCGACUUCCUGGACCAGUACCGACGUUCAGGCACGAAAGCGUGGGGAGCAAACAGG
rnacentral:rRNA from 1 species